GACGAACGCUGGCGGCGUGCUUAACACAUGCAAGUCGAGCGGUAAGGCUCCUUCGGGGGUACACGAGCGGCGAACGGGUGAGUAACACGUGAGUAAUCUGCCCUUCACUAUGGGAUAAGCACUCGAAAGGGUGUCUAAUACCGUAUAUGACAUACUUGCGCAUGUGGGUGUGUGGAAAGUUUUUUCGGUGGGGGAUGUGCUCGCGGCCUAUCAGCUUGUUGGUGGGGUAAUGGCCUACCAAGGCUUUGACGGGUAGCCGGCCUGAGAGGGUGACCGGCCACACUGGGACUGAGACACGGCCCAGACUCCUACGGGAGGCAGCAGUGGGGAAUAUUGGACAAUGGGCGGAAGCCUGAUCCAGCAACGCCGCGUGAGGGAUGACGGCCUUCGGGUUGUAAACCUCUUUCAGCACAGACGAAGCGCAAGUGACGGUAUGUGCAGAAGAAGGACCGGCCAACUACGUGCCAGCAGCCGCAGUAACAC
rnacentral:rRNA from 1 species